rnacentral:rRNA from 1 species
GAUAAACGCUGACAGAAUGCUUAACACAUGCAAGUCAACUUGAAUUUGGGUUUUUAACUUAGAUUUGGGUGGCGGACGGGUGAGUAACGCGUAAAGAACUUGCCUCACAGCUAGGGACAACAUUUAGAAAUGAAUGCUAAUACCUGAUAUUAUGAUUUUAAGGCAUCUUAGAAUUAUGAAAGCUAUAAGCACUGUGAGAGAGCUUUGCGUCCCAUUAGCUAGUUGGAGAGGUAACAGCUCACCAAGGCGAUGAUGGGUAGCCGGCCUGAGAGGGUGAACGGCCACAAGGGGACUGAGACACGGCCCUUACUCCUACGGGAGGCAGCAGUGGGGAAUAUUGGACAAUGGACCGAGAGUCUGAUCCAGCAAUUCUGUGUGCACGAUGAAGUUUUUCGGAAUGUAAAGUGCUUUCAGUUGGGAAGAAAGAAAUGACGGUACCAACAGAAGAAGUGACGGCUAAAUACGUGCCAGCAGCCGCGGUAAUACGUAUGUCACAAGCGUUAUCCGGAUUUAUUGGGCGUAAAGCGCGUCUAGGUGGUUAUGUAAGUCUGAUGUGAAAAUGCAGGGCUCAACCCUGUAUUGCGUUGGAAACUGUAUAACUAGAGUACUGGAGAGGUAAGCGGAACUACAAGUGUAGAGGUGAAAUUCGUAGAUAUUUGUAGGAAUGCCGAUGGGGAAGCCAGCUUACUGGACAGAUACUGACGCUAAAGCGCGAAAGCGUGGGUAGCAAACAGG